CACGUAGGGUGCAAGCGUUGUCCGGAUUCAUUGGGCGUAAAGGGCUAGUAGGCGGCUUAGCAAGUCGGGUGUGAAAACUUCAGGCUCAACCUGGAGCGGCCAUCCGAUACUGCUAUGGCUAGAGUCCGGUAGGGGACCACGGAAUUCCUGGUGUAGCGGUGAAAUGCGCAGAUAUCAGGAGGAACACCGGUGGCGAAGGCGGCCUGCUGGGCAGUAGCUGACGCUGAGGCGCGACAGCGUGGGGAGCAAACAGG
rnacentral:rRNA from 1 species